rnacentral:rRNA from 1 species
GACGAACGCUGGCGGCGUGCUUAACACAUGCAAGUCGAACGGAAAGGCCCUGCUUUUGUGGGGUGCUCGAGUGGCGAACGGGUGAGUAACACGUGAGUAACCUGCCCUUGACUUUGUGAUAACUUCUGGAAACUGGGGCUAAUACCGGAUAGGAGCUCCUGCUGCAUGGUGGGGGUUGGAAAGUUUCGGCGGUUGGGGAUGGUCUCGCGGCUUAUCAGCUUGUUGGUGAGGUAGUGGCUUACCAAGGCUUUGACGGGUAGCCGGCCUAGGAGGGGGACCGGGCACAAUGGGACUGCGGUACGGCCCAGACGCGUACGGGAGGCAGCAGUGGGGAAUAUUGCACAAUGGGCGGAAGCCUGAUGCAGCAACGCCGCGUGCGUGAUGACGGCCUUCGGGUUGUAAACCGCUGUCGCAUGUGACGAAGCGUGAGUGACGGUAAUGGGUAAAGAAGCAACGGCUAACUACGUG